UACGAAGGGGACUAGCGUUGUUCGGAUUUACUGGGCGUAAAGCGCGCGUAGGCGGAUCGCUAAGUCAGGGGUGAAAUCCCAAGGCUCAACCUUGGAACUGCCUUUGAUACUGACGAUCUGGAGAUCGGGAGAGGUUGGUGGAAUUCCGAGUGUAGAGGUGAAAUUCGUAGAUAUUAGGAAGAACACCAGUGGCGAAGGCGGCUCACUGGCCCGGUACUGACGCUGAGGCGCGAAAGCGUGGGGAGCAAACAGG
rnacentral:rRNA from 1 species